CCGAGUCUUAACCGGGCGUUAAGUUGCAGGGUAUAGACCCGAAACCCGGUGAUCUAGCCAUGGGCAGGUUGAAGGUUGGGUAACACUAACUGGAGGACCGAACCGACUAAUGUUGAAAAAUUAGCGGAUGACCUGUGGCUGGGGGUGAAAGGCCAAUCAAACCGGGAGAUAGCUGGUUCUCCCCGAAAGCUAUUUAGGUAGCGCCUCGUGAAUUCAUCUCCGGGGGUAGAGCACUGUUUCGGCUAGGGGGCCAUCCCGGCUUACCAACCCGAUGCAAACUGCGAAUACCGGAGAAUGUUAUCACGGGAGACACACGGCGGGUGCUAACGUCCGUCGUGAAGAGGGAAACAACCCAGACCGCCAGCUAAGGUCCCAAAGUCAUGGUUAAGUGGGAAACGAUGUGGGAAGGCCCAGACAGCCAGGAUGUUGGCUUAGAAGCAGCCAUCAUUUAAAGAAAGCGUAAUAGCUCACUGGUCGAGUCGGCCUGCGCGGAAGAUGUAACGGGGCUAAACCAUGCACCGAAGCUGCGGCAGCGAACGUAUCACCCAAGACAACUUUACGGAGUUGACGAUUGACGGAGCGAAGCGACGUCAAAGCGUUCAUUAAAGUCGAGUUGGCUUAGGGAUACGUUCGUUGGGUAGGGGAGCGUUCUGUAAGCCUGUGAAGGUGUGUCGUGAGGCAUGCUGGAGGUAUCAGAAGUGCGAAUGCUGACAUAAGUAACGAUAAAGCGGGUGAAAAGCCCGCUCGCCGGAAGACCAAGGGUUCCUGUCCAACGUUAAUCGGGGCAGGGUGAGUCGACCCCUAAGGCGAGGCCGAAAGGCGUAGUCGAUGGGAAACGGGUUAAUAUUCCCGUACUUGGUGUUACUGCGAAGGGGGGACGGAGAAGGCUAUGUUGGCCGGGCGACGGUUGUCCCGGUUUAAGCGUGUAGGUGUGUGUUCCAGGUAAAUCCGGUUCACUUUAACACUGAGGCGUGACGACGAGGCACUACGGUGCUGAAGCAACAAAUGCCCUGCUUCCAGGAAAAGCCUCUAAGCAUCAGGUAACACGAAAUCGUACCCCAAACCGACACAGGUGGUCAGGUAGAGAAUACCAAGGCGCUUGAGAGAACU
rnacentral:rRNA from 1 species